rnacentral:sRNA from 1 species
UGUUGAAUGCUCGUCAGCUCGCGGUGCU